GUAAGCCAGUGGGCGGGUUUCCGGACGCUUUAUAGCGUCUGGAGGAAACUCCUCCACGCAGGUGGAGCCACACCACGGCAACGUGGGGGGCGAGAGCCCCGGCUCCGGCGCAGAAAAGACACUCCCACCCGGUGUAUGUGGAUGAUAGGCGGUUCAACCGUUGACGAUACCGGGAUGUGGAGAUGAAACUGCCGUCCUGUGGGCGUUAAGGCGAAGGAAGCCUAUGAGCCUCCACCCGAGGCUUCGGUAAGCCGCAUUAGUCGAAUCCCGCCUAAAACAGAAGGAGGGUUACGGCUGGCAUAC
rnacentral:RNase_P_RNA from 1 species